UACGUAGGGUGCGAGCGUUGUCCGGAAUUAUUGGGCGUAAAGCGCACGUAGGCGGCUUUGUAAGUUAGAGGUGAAAGCCCGGGGCUCAACUCCGGAAUUGCCUUUAAGACUGCAUCGCUAGAAUUGUGGAGAGGUGAGUGGAAUUCCGAGUGUAGAGGUGAAAUUCGUAGAUAUUCGGAAGAACACCAGUGGCGAAGGCGACUCACUGGACACAUAUUGACGCUGAGGUGCGAAAGCGUGGGGAGCAAACAGG
rnacentral:rRNA from 1 species